rnacentral:lncRNA from 1 species
GUUUGUUCAGCCAUCUCCUUUGUUCUUCUAACUGGUGAAGGUGAUAGUAAUCUGUCAAGGGAAGGAAACAAAUCCCUAGAUGGGCGUCUGACUCUCCUUCUCCCCCUUGCCUCGCUUAAGCCUUCAAGAAACACAAACCCUAGUACCACUUUUUUAUAUAUAUAAAAAAUAUAAAAUAAAAAGAUAAAAAGAUAUAUACAAUCAAGUCAAACUUAAUCAGUUUACACUACUAGAUAAGUUAAACCACGAGUCCCCGACAACGACGCCAAAAACUUGUUAAGCCCCUGGCAAGUGUACCAGAUCGUUAUCAAGUAAUAUAAUUGGUAAACCCAAUAUCGUUCUUCCCAAAGGACUCUUAGGCCUUACUUUUCAUGUAAAAAAAUUGCGUAAGACUUGAGAAAAGAAUUAAGUUGGUGUUUGUAUGCAAAGAACAAAAAUAAACAUGCAAAUGCAGUGAUUCAAUUGGCUUUGAAAAACUAUGGAUGAAUGAUGUUGUUGGGGUUUACAAUUUCAUCUUAUCCGCUCUCACAUAUCUACUCUUCUUAUUUACUUCACUUAUUUAUCCAAUUGCCAUGCAAACUUUCUAGCCUACCCUUAACCCAAUCCCUUGGUGAAAAGAGCCUAUUAUUAAUUACCGGCUUGCUAUCCCUAGCCUCCCCUAGUAACUAAUAAUGCAAUGCGAACAGAAGCAAAAUACAAUUGAUCCUCCUAC